rnacentral:rRNA from 1 species
AGGACGAGCGCUGGCGGCGCGCUUAACGCAUGCAAGUCGAACGAGAUCCAUCCAGUAGCAAUACUGGUGAAGAUCGAGUGGCGAACGGGUGAGUAUCACGUGAGGAACCCACCCCGGAGACCGGGAUAACCCUCCGAAAGGAGAGCUAAUACCGGAUGUCCUCAUCGGAUCGCAUGUUCUGAUGAGGAAAUGGAUUCCGCUCCGGGACGGCCUCGCGGCCUAUCAGCUAGUUGGUGAGGUAACGGCCCACCAAGGCGACGACGGGUAGCUGGUCUGAGAGGACGAUCAGCCACACUGGGACUGAGACACGGCCCAGACUCCUACGGGAGGCAGCAGCGGGGAAUAUUGCACAAAUGGGCGAAAAGCCUGACGCAGCGACGCCGCGUGUGGGAUGAAGGUCUUCGGAUUGUAAAACCACUGUCGGGAGGGACGAAUGCGCCGCAAGGCGAGUGACGUACCUACCGAAAGGAAGCACCGGCUAACUCUGUG